rnacentral:tRNA from 1 species
GCUUUCGUGGUGUAACGGUAGCACAUUCGGCCCGUAUUCGAGAGGUCCAGGUUCGAGUCUCGGGGAGGGCA